UAAAAAAUAAAUUACUUCCAUAUAAAAGAUUAUAUCUAUUAAUUAUUUGAUUCCUGCACACAAGUGCUGCGCACACGUUUGAUGCUUCCAACGCUCGACGUGUUUGCAUACUGAUCUGUGUCGCGCAUAGGACUCUCGUCUUUCCGUUUUUCGGCGUCUUGGCGCUGGAUUUUUAUGAUCAAGUGUACGUGUCACCGAUCGCUUGCCGCUUGCGUUCUUUUAUCGUGUCUGAUUAGUCUCUUUCCGCGAUCAUUGUGUGUCGAGAUCUGUGUAUGUGAUUGAGCUCAAUCGUGAACAUAAUGAUAUUUGCAUUACAAAUCAGCCAGCGGGACACAUGUUCCCGCUAGCUCGAGCGGCCGGCAUCUUGAUUCUUUAUCAAAUAUCGAUCUAACGUAUAUGAUCGGUCGCUUGCGCGUUCUCUUGUCGUGACUGCCCAACCUUUCUGCGGUCGGGAGUGCGUUCGUCCAGGCGUUCUCGUUAUCGGCGAGGAUUUUCACAAGCCUAUAUAAUAUAUCUGUAUGAUAUAUAGGCUCGUGAAAAUAUUUGCGCGUGUUCUCUUGUGUUCCCUAAUCCUUUUUUGCGGUCAAAAGCUUGCAAUGUUCUAUAUGUUUGCUGGGAAUUUUCUCUUAGAAUUUACCUUCAAAAUUAUGGUAAUCGUGGAACAACACCGACUUCGAAGAAUUUUACUAUGCCUUUAGUGAAAUUUAGUAAAAUUUGAGUAAAAUCUAAUUAAACUAUUCUGCAAUGUAAAAUGUUUUAGUUAAAUUUUAGUAAAAUUUUAUCAAAUUUUACUAAAAGUAUAGUAAAAAGUUUUUCAAAGUCCGUGUUGUUCUACGACUGAUUUUGAAGGUAAAUUCUAAGAAAAAAUUCUCUCCGUGUAAAGAUAGAUCUAUUAUACAUCUAUAAUACAGUUACGCAUUAUUAUAGAUGUCUAUUAGACGUCUAUAAUAAGGUUGCACAUUAGACGUCUAUUAUACGCGUUUAAAAAAGGUUACUUCGACGUUUAUCUAGAUGCGUCUAUCGAUCUAGCUUAGAUGCGUCUGAUAGACGUCUGAUCGAUGUCUAUCCGAUUUCGUAUUUCUCCCUAGGUAAUAAUGAUGGAGACAGACUCGAUGGGAGAUGAGAUAAUAACAUAUGCAGCUUUCGAAAUAGAGAAGCUGCAUGUGCAGCAGACAACGAAUAUGCCGCCAACGACGGCAGCAGUGGCAGGACCGACAACAUUGGUCCCACCAUCGCUACCGCCGCCGUCGACAACGUCGGCCUCAUCACCGUCGCAGCCGCCGUCGACAUCGGCCCUACCACCACCACCACCACCACCAUCACCGCCGCCGCCGACGACAUCGGCCUUACCACCAUCGAUAUCGCUACCGCCGACGCCACUGCCGAUGCCGAUGGCGACGGCGAUGGUGGCAUCAGCCCCGCCAACAUGGUACCCAUGGGCCCCAUGGAUAUGGCCGUGGGGAGGAUUUAUGCAGUCGCCGUCAACAUCGGCCCCACCUCCACUACCACCAUUACCAUCACCACCGUCAUUGCCACAGCACCUCCUCGCUGGCAACGCGGAGGCAAAAAUAUAAAAAAAGAGGCCGCAGGCAAGACCGCGGGAGAGGCCGUGGGAGACACAUUGGGAGGGGCCAAAAUAUAUAUAUUACUUAUCAAUAAAAAAACUAUAAAAAAAAAGAAUAAUGUUGGCAAGCAAAAAUAGUACCCAGUACUCUGAUGCCCAAGCUAUCUGACUCAAUUACAUAACGUCAAGCCAGAACGUGCUGCUUCCACGCACACAUCACUGUGCAGUUCCGCGGCAUUCACGCGGCCCGCAUUUUCCUUUUCAUAUGCAAAGUAAUAUAGAGAACAAGAAUAGCUAUUGCGUCUACUCCAGUCCACAGGUCGGGCGCAAAGACAUGGGUCUGAGUGUGCCAUGUGCAACCUGGAGAUACGCUUACUGAUGGGUAGGAUUAUUUGCAAGUAUUAAUAAUUUGCAACAUAUCAGUGAACGCAAGACAAAGGACAAACUUUGAUCUGUUAGUGCAUCCAUGUGCCAGAAGUAUUUUCAUGGAGCAUUCUAAAUAAGCUAUCAAGAACAGCCCCGAAAGUCCUCUGUAAAGGGAAAACAAGAUUGUGGCAACGGUUUGUGCAUAUUUCAUUGUUUCUUGGUCUAUCUUUCCUAGAGGCAUGUUGAGGAAAAAGAGUCAAUUUCAAAUAGCAAAUGCAAGGCCUUUGAAGAAGAACAGCAAUUGCGGUACAAUAUUAUACUUAUACAGUAUACAGUUUUACAACCUAACUUAACCCUUUGAGCCACUAAUUGUGAGUGGCACACUCACAAGGUCUCUCCAGUUUUUAAUUAUUUUAACAAUUUUUUAAUCGUUUAAAGUCAGUUUUUUUGCUUUCUGAUAGUUUGAGAUACCGUAGGGUAUGUUUAAAAAUAUAUAUGACCACAAAUUUGUAUUUAUUUACUUGCUAUAAAUAAAUAUAUACCCAAAAUUUUCUGUUUUUUGAAAGAAAUUUAUUUGCUCUCAGAGAAGAGCGCCAAUUUUUACAAAGCUCUAUAUCUGGGAGUUUUUGUAAUCGCUGAUUAAGAAUCCGUUGUCAGAUUUUUAAAAUUCAAAAUGGCGGUUCCAAUUUGGCGGAAAUAAAGUUAAAAAUGUAACUAAUUUUCGUAAAACUUAGUAUCUAGGGGUUUUUGGGGUGCUGAUUACAAACUCAUUGUAAUCAGAUCCAUUGUAACCAGAUUUUUAAAAUUUAUAAUAGCAGAUUCAAUAUGGCAGUCGUCAAAAUUUUACUUAUUCCAAAUCAAGUAUUUAGAAUGUUUCAGGUUUUUGAUGGCAUAUCUAUUUUUAGAUCUUUUUAUUAUUGUUCAAAAAAAGAUGAAAGUGAUAAAUUUAUAUACGUUCAAAACUUUUGGUAAUUAUAAUGAGUCCUGCUUUUGGCGUUACCCACAACUGACGACGAGCGAGAUUUCAGUUCCAUUUUUUGGUUUUUUU
rnacentral:misc_RNA from 1 species